UGGUGGUACACUAGUGGUGGUUGGGGGCGGGGGCGGAGGAGGAAGAGAAGGAGGAGGAGGAGGAUAUAGAGGCAGUGGUGCACGAAGGCUUCCCCUCAACAAGUGUGAUCGAGUCGAAGCUCUCACUAUAUCCUAUAAAUUCAAAGUGGACUCUACUCUCUUAUCCGUUAAGAAGUGCAAAGUGAAAGUAAAGUGUGCGUGUACGAUUAGCGCAAUCGAGUUUUGCAAGAUGAUAUUAUUCAAACGAUACGACUGUUAUGUCUCUAUCAUAUCAGUGGUCUGAUGGUGACAUAAUUAAAAUAUAUCCAUAAGAUCGUUAAUUCGAUGAAGUCACGCUUGGGAUAAUUAUGAUUAGUAAUUUUAGAGGCUAGCACGCACUUCCAUGUGCUGAGUUUUCUUCAAUAUUGCUACUUAUUAUUAUAUAUUUAUCGUAAUUUAGUAUAAUCACCGAAUCUGAAGUUAGAAAAUUAAGAAAACAAAAAGGAAAUCUAACAAAAAUCAAAGAGAAUAACUUUGUUAUGGAGUGGAUAACAAUUUAAAAGAUACUAGACAGUCAAUUGGAAAUGAAGGCAUCAUCAAUGUUGGGCGUUAAAGAGAAAUUGGAUAAAAUGUUAACGUCUCAUAAAAAAACAAAAAGUCGUCCUCUUUCGUAAAAGAGAAACUGUAACUCACUUGCUCAAUUCCAAACAAA
rnacentral:lncRNA from 1 species